UACAACAACUGCCUGGAGAUACUCCG
rnacentral:piRNA from 1 species